rnacentral:rRNA from 1 species
CAGAACGAACGCUGGCGGCAGGCCUAAAACAUGCAAGUUGAACGGCCAUAGCAAUAUGGCAGUAGCGCAAGGGUGAGUAAUGUAUGGGAACGUAUCUUUUUGGUGGGGAAUAUUCUUUGGAAACGGUCGGUAAUACCGCAUAAAAUAGCUGAACCGCAUGAUUUGGCUAUCAAAGAUUUAUCGCUUAAAGAUGAGCUCGCGUCUGAUUAGCUAGUUGGUGAGGUAACGGCCCACCAAGGCGACGAUCAGUAGCCGGACUGAGAGGUUGAACGGCCACAUUGGGACUGAGACACGGCCCAGACUCCUACGGGAGGCAGCAGUGGGGAAUAUUGCACAGUGGGCGCAAGCCUGAUGCCAGCGAUGCCGCGUGAGGGAAGAAGGUUUUCGGAUUGUAAACCUCUGUUGACAGGGACGAUAAUGACGGUACCUGUUCAGAAAGCUCCGGCUAACUACGUGCCAGCCGCUGC